rnacentral:rRNA from 1 species
CAGUCGCCGCGGUAAUACGUAGGGUGCGAGCGUUAAUCGGAAUUACUGGGCGUAAAGCGUGCGCAGGCGGUUGUGUAAGACAGGUGUGAAAUCCCCGGGCUUAACCUGGGAACUGCGCUUGUGACUGCACAGCUAGAGUAUGGCAGAGGGGGGUGGAAUUCCACGUGUAGCAGUGAAAUGCGUAGAGAUGUGGAGGAACACCGAUGGCGAAGGCAGCCCCCCGGGCCAAUACUGACGCUCAUGCACGAAAGCGUGGGGAGCAAACAGGAUUAGAUACCCGGGUAGUCCCUGUCUCUUAUAC